CGUCGUUGGCCCGUUCGUCUCCACCCACUAGCUCCCCUAGAGUGCAAGGGAGCACAGUAAUGUCGUCGUCGUGCCUCCUCGCGAAGGCACGGUGAUUAUAGGAGCAUGAAUCCCCCUUGUGUUCCCGUAUGGCCCUGGUGGAGAGUAAGCAGGAGCAUUCGUCAAGAAGCUCCCUCGAAGCCCAAGGAUACAGGUCUUUGGGGUUGACCCUGGGAGGAGUAGAACGAGAAGACAUUCUUGAACAGAAUCAGGGAGGUUUGAAGUCUUGGCAAGGGUAAAACGCUGGGGGGAACGAACACUGGAAGAACUCUUCGCGAGAAGAAGAAGGGUGCAAGCAGAGAGGGUGCAAGUAGGUUACGAAAGGUGCAGAAAUGAUGAGGACAGUUUCAAGGCUUUAAAGAAUCAAAUAUUGCGGUUAGAGCGCCAAACGACGCAAAUGGAAGUAUUGCAGUUAUAGCGCUAAUCGACGCGAAUGGAUGCACCGCACGAUC
rnacentral:lncRNA from 1 species